CGAGAAAGUAAAUAAGGGCGUAUGGCGGAUGCCUUGGCUCUCAGAGGCGAAGAAGGACGUGAUAAGCUGCGAUAAGCUACGGGGAUUGGCACAUACAAAUUGAUCCGUAGAUUUCCGAAUGGGACAACCCAGUACAUUGAAGAUGUAUUAUAUCUAAUUUAUUAGGUAGGCUAACCCGGAGAACUGAAACAUCUAAGUACCCGGAGGAAGAGAAAACAAUAGUGAUUCCGCAAGUAGUGGCGAGCGAACGCGGAAAAGCCCAAACCACAUCAGUUAAGGCUGGCGUGGGGUUGUAGGACUGCAACGUGGACUUAUACAAUGAACAUGAACCGGUUGGGAAACCGGGCCAGAGAGGGUGAGAGCCCCGUAAAGGAAAGUUGUAUAUACCUAGCAGUAUCCUGAGUAGGGCGGGACCGGAGAAAUCCCGUUUGAAUCAGCCGGCACCAUCCGGUAAGGCUAAAUACUACUGAGAGACCGAUAGCGAACAAGUACUGUGAAGGAAAGGUGAAAAGUACCGUGAAUAACGGGGUGAAAUAGAACCUGAAACCAUACGCUUACAAGCGGUCGGAGUCCAUUCGUUGGAUGACGGCGUGCCUUUUGCAUAAUGAGCCUACGAGUUACUUUUCUUGGCAAGGUUAACCCCGUUGACGGGGGGAGCCGAAGCGAAAGCGAGUCUGAAUAGGGCGAAUUAGUCAGGGGAAGUAGACGCGAAACCUUGUGAUCUACCCAUGGUCAGGGUGAAGUUCCGGUAACACGGAAUGGAGGCCCGAACCAGUUGACGUUGAAAAGUCUUUGGAUGAACUGUGGGUAGGGGUGAAAGGCCAAUCAAACUGGGAAAUAGCUCGUACUCCCCGAAAUGUUUUUAGGAACAGCCUCGGGAGAUGUUUGACAGAGGUAGAGCUACCAAUAGGACUAGGGGGAGUCAAAUCCUACCAAAUCCUGAUGAACUCCGAAUGCUGUCAAAUUAUCCCGGGAGUGAGGGUCAGGGUGCUAAGGUCCUGAUCCGAGAGGGAAAGAACCCGGACCAUCAGCUAAGGUCCCCAAUUGUAUGUUAAGUUGAACUAAGGCGGUUCAGUUGCUUAGACAGCCAGGAUGUUGGCUUGGAAGCAGCCAUUCAUUUAAAGAGUGCGUAACAGCUCACUGGUCGAGCGACAGAGCAUCGAUAAUGAUCGGGCAUCAAACAUACAACCGAAGCUAUGGUCUUGUCAGUAAUGGCGAGAGGUAGGGGAGCAUUCCAUCAGCGGUGAAGGUGUGGCGUCAGCCAUGCUGGAGCGGAUGGAAAAGCAAAUGUAGGCAUAAGUAACGAUAAUGCUAGUGAGAAACUAGCACACCAAUAGACUAAGGUUUCCUCAGCAAUGCUAAUCAGCUGAGGGUUAGUCAGGGCCUAAGGCGAAGCCGAGAGGCGUAGUCGAUGGACAACAGGUUAAUAUUCCUGUACUACCUUAUAGAGUGAAGGGGUGACGGAGUAGUGAAAGUCCCGCGUACUGACGGAAUAGUACGUUGAAGGGUGUAGGUAUUGGACUUGUAGGAAAAUCCGCAAGACUAGCUGAACCUGAUAGUACCACAACGCUUCGGCAGCGUGGAUAGUGGACCUAAUCAGACUUCCAAGAAAACCCUCUAAACAUAUGUAUAAGGUACCUGUACCGCAAACCGACACAGGUAGUCAAGGAGAGAAUCCUAAGGUGCUCGAGUGAUCCGUGGCUAAGGAACUAGGCAAAAUGGCCCUGUAACUUCGGGAGAAGGGGCGCCUCGUUAGUGAUAACGAGGCCGCAGUGAAGAGGCCCAGGCGACUGUUUAACAAAAACACAUGGCUUUGCGAAAUCGAAAGAUGAAGUAUAAGGCCUGACACCUGCCCGGUGCUGGAAGGUUAAGGGGGGACGUUAGUGCGCAAGUGCGAAGCGUUGAACUGAAGCCCCAGUAAACGGCGGCCGUAACUAUAACGGUCCUAAGGUAGCGAAAUUCCUUGUCGGGUAAGUUCCGACCUGCACGAAUGGUGUAACGAUCUGGGCACUGUCUCGGCCACGAGCUCGGUGAAAUUGUAGUAGCGGUGAAGAUGCCGCUUACCCGCAACGGGACGAAAAGACCCCAUGAACCUUUACUAUAGCUUCACAUUGACAUUGGGUAAAAUAUGUGUAGGAUAGGUGGGAGACUUCGAAGCUGUGUCGCCAGGCAUGGUGGAGUCGUUGUUGAAAUACCACCCUUAUUUUAUCUGAUGCCUAAUCCGCUAACUAGCGGAGACAUUGUGUGGUGGGUAGUUUGACUGGGGUGGUCGCCUCCAAAAGAGUAACGGAGGCUUUCAAAGGUUCCCUCAGCACGCUUGGUAACCGUGCGCAGAGCGCAAUAGCAUAAGGGAGCUUGACUGUGAGACCUACAAGUCGAUCAGGGUCGAAAGACGGAUAUAGUGAUCCGGUGGUUCCGCAUGGAAGGGCCAUCGCUCAAAGGAUAAAAGGUACUCUGGGGAUAACAGGCUGAUCUCCCCCAAGAGCUCACAUCGACGGGGAGGUUUGGCACCUCGAUGUCGGCUCGUCACAUCCUGGGGCUGGAGAAGGUCCCAAGGGUUGGGCUGUUCGCCCAUUAAAGUGGCACGCGAGCUGGGUUCAGAACGUCGUGAGACAGUUCGGUCUCUAUCUGUUGUGGGCGCUAGAAGUUUGAGAGGACCUGAUCUUAGUACGAGAGGACCGGAUUGGACAAACCGCUGGUGUACCAGUUGUGCCGCCAGGUGCAUCGCUGGGUAGCUAUGUUUGGAAGGGAUAAGCGCUGAAAGCAUCUAAGCGCGAAACCCGCCUCAAGAUGAGACUUCUUUAAAGGAACCCUAUAGAUGAUGGGGUUGAUAGGCUGCAGGUGUAAAGGCAGUGAUGUCAUAGCCGAGCAGUACUAAUUAUCCGUAGCUUUCCGUU
rfam:Marivirga tractuosa DSM 4126, complete genome.